UACGUAGGCAGCGAGCGUUGUUCGGAGUUACUGGGCGUAAAGCGUGCGUAGGCGGUUUUGUAAGUUUGGUGUGAAAUCUCCCGGCUCAACUGGGAGGGUGCGCCGAAAACUGCAAGACUGGAGUGUGGGAGAGGUAGGCGGAAUUCCUGGUGUAGCGGUGAAAUGCGUAGAUAUCAGGAGGAACACCUGUGGUGUAGACGGCUUACUGGACCAUGACUGACGCUGAGGCACGAAAGCGUGGGGAGCAAACAGG
rnacentral:rRNA from 1 species